rnacentral:rRNA from 1 species
GGUCCUACGGGGGGCAGCAGUGGGGGAUAUUGCACAAUGGGGGAAACCCUGAUGCAGCGACGCCGCGUGGGCGAAGAAGUAUUUCGGUAUGUAAAGCCCUAUCAGCAGGGAAGAAGAAAAUGACGGUACCUGAAGAAGAAGCCCCGGCUAACUACGUGCCAGCAGCCGCGGUAAUACGUAGGGGGCAAGCGUUAUCCGGAUUUACUGGGUGUAAAGGGGGCGCAGACGGCGAUGCAAGCCAGGAGUGAAAGCCCGGGGCCCAACCCCGGGCCUGCUCUUGGACCUGCGUGGCUGGAGUGCAGGAG